AUGUCAUGGUCGAGCAUAUCGAAAGCUCUCGAUAAAUCACAGAAAACCAACAGUUUGUUGUUGUAUGUCAAUGGACUGAAUCCAGUCUUCUACUACCAAGUGAAGAGCAGAUUCACAGGAAUGAAGCUUCCUGAAACCGGACUGGAAUUGUGUAAGGAGCUGGUUUUGGUCCAGAGCAGCAGGGUUUUUGUACGGCCGCUAAACCUGUUUGUAUCACUGUGGUGGACUUUUGGUGGAGGAACCAAACUGUCUGUGGGCCGUGUCACUCAGCCCAGUGUGACGGUGUUGCCUCCCUCCAGUGUGGAGCUGCAGCAGGAGAAGGUCACACUCAUGUGUGUGGCCGACAAGGGCUUCCCCUCGGACUGGACACUGAGCUGGAAGGUUGAUGGGAGCAGCUGGAGCUCGGGGGAGAGCCGCAGCACCGCCGUUCUGCACGCGGACGGCCUCUACAGCUGGAGCAGCACGCUGAGCCUCCACCCGGAGCAGUGGAGGAACAAGGUGGUGACCUGUGAGGCCUCCAAAGACAACCAACCUACUGUGGUGGGCAGAGUGAACACAGAGCAGUGCUCAGAGCUGUGA